GAUGAACGCUGGCGGCGUGCCUAAUACAUGCAAGUCGAGCGAAUUGACAGAGGUGCUUGCACCUCUCGAUUUUGGCGGCGGACGGGUGAGUAACACGUGGGUAACCUACCUAUAAGACUGGGUUAACUUCGGGAAACCGGAGCUAAUACCGGAUAAUAUUUAGCUUCGCAUGAAGCAAUAGUGAAAGACGGUUCUGCUGUCACUUAUAGAUGGACCUGCGGUGUAUUAGCUAGUUGGUGAGGUAACGGCUCACCAAGGCAACGAUACAUAGCCGACCUGAGAGGGUGAUCGGCCAAACUGGGACUGAGACACGGCCCAGACUCCUACGGGAGGCAGCAGUAGGGAAUCUUCCGCAAUGGACGAAAGUCUGACGGAGCAACGCCGCGUGAGUGAAGGAGGUUUUCGGAUCGUAAAGCUCUGUUGUAAGGGAAGAACAAGUACGUUAGUAACUGAACGUACCUUGACGGUACCUUACCAGAAAGCCACGGCUAGCUACGUGCCAGCCGCCGCCGUAACAC
rnacentral:rRNA from 1 species